ncrna:unclassified sequences RT-10 RNA
GCUCUGCACUUACCACAAGGCGGUGCAGGCCGAUCACAAUAGAUGGUCAGCUUGGUUGUCCUGCUUCGGCAAACAAACUACAGGGUCUGGCAAUCUGCGGAGUAGCCUAGAGCGAAACGCGGCACCAGC